AGCGAACGCUGGCGGCAGGCUUAACACAUGCAAGUCGAGCGGGCCCUUCGGGGUCAGCGGUAGACGGGUGAGUAACACGUGGGAACGUACCCUUUGGUUCGGAAUAACGCUGGGAAACUAGCGCUAAUACCGGAUACGCCCUUUUGGGGAAAGGCUUGCUGCCGAAGGAUCGGCCCGCGUCUGAUUAGCUAGUUGGUGGGGUAAUGGCCUACCAAGGCGACGAUCAGUAGCUGGUCUGAGAGGAUGAUCAGCCACACUGGGACUGAGACACGGCCCAGACUCCUACGGGAGGCAGCAGUGGGGAAUAUUGGACAAUGGGCGCAAGCCUGAUCCAGCCAUGCCGCGUGAGUGAUGAAGGCCUUAGGGUUGUAAAGCUCUUUUGUCCGGGACGAUAAUGACGGUACCGGAAGAAUAAGCCCCGGCUAACUUCGUG
rnacentral:rRNA from 1 species